UACGAAGGGGGCUAGCGUUGUUCGGAUUUACUGGGCGUAAAGCGCACGUAGGCGGAUUGUUAAGUCAGGGGUGAAAUCCUGGAGCUCAACUCCAGAACUGCCUUUGAUACUGGCGAUCUUGAGUCCGGGAGAGGUGAGUGGAACUGCGAGUGUAGAGGUGAAAUUCGUAGAUAUUCGCAAGAACACCAGUGGCGAAGGCGGCUCACUGGCCCGGUACUGACGCUGAGGUGCGAAAGCGUGGGGAGCAAACAGG
rnacentral:rRNA from 1 species